GGGAAUGUAGCUCAGUGGUAGAGCACUUGUCUAACAGGCAUAAGGCCCUAGGUUUGAUUCCUCAGUACCA
rnacentral:tRNA from 1 species